rnacentral:lncRNA from 1 species
ACCCGUGAUAUAAACACGCUUAUUCUCUUCGUGCACCUUAAACCCUAAUUUAAAUAUCCUAUCAUUCUGGCCGUUUCACUUCGUUUCGCAAAGAAGAUAUCGAUCGUUCAUCCCCACAAACCCGAAUUUCAUCAACAAUCAUCAGGCAUGAGCAUAAUUUGGUGUAAAUCUUUGAUUCUUGCUUCCAAUUUAUGAUUCUCGAGGUAACAUAGUUGGAUUCACACCCAUCUCGCAAAUCCGGAUCGUAUCAUUUUUCUCAAACGUACAAGCUAACUUCUCUCAAACCCUAAAUCCGAAGACGCCAUUCAUCUUCAGCCGUUCAUCAUUGAUUCAAGUUUGAUAAACAAAGAUUUCAAGAUCAAUUCUACAAGGAAUAACACAUGUAAAGACAUUGCAACAUCCGUUACUAAGAAACCCUAAAGGGAGAGAAGCUAUAUUUGUAUAUCAAGAAUAUGUGUUGAUACGGAUUAGGCAGGGAGGAUUAGGAGGUGGUGUUGCCUCAGGGGUUUUGUUGAAAGGGGAUGACAAAAGAAGACGGUAAUGAUUUUGUUUUCUGUUCAUGUGAGGGUGGGGAAUUCUCAGAUCCGCCAUUUAUGGUGGUCUUUUCCCAGCUGGUGGUAUUGUUCAAAUUGUUGUGGUGGCUGGAGGUGGGGCUUGGUUGAAUAAGAGAUAGAUAAAGCACCGAUUACAGAGACCUUGAGCACAAGGGGUUGCACUCCUUGGUGGAUUCCGUUUGUCUUCUACACGCGGAUUCUUUUGAGUCUGGCCCGGUUUAAUUCGAUAAUCUUCGUUGUGACAGUGGGCUGUUCAGAUGGAGCAGCGGCGGUCGCCAAAAAGUGACACCCGACGAUUGAAUACGGAGCAACGUUUCAGGUGGUUUCUAGACCCUAUCGAGUUGUUAAAAGCUUUGGUGUGAUUUGGUGAUGAGAGGCCAUCACUCGUGUUCAAUUUAUAGGUAUUUAGGGGCUGUGUGGAUGGUUAAAAAGUCCUGAAAGGACAGCGGUAAUGGCUCUCAAAACUAGACAACAAAGUCACACUUUUAGGCGUGAUUUCGAGACAGCAUUGUGAGGUACAAUGCAGCAGUGAGUUGGGAUCUUUUGCAGUCGUUCGAGAGGUGCUUCACGGUCCGAAACUCUCUACAAACAACCACGACAAGUGUUGGUAAGGGCUGCCAAAACAGAUCGAGAACGUGAAGAAAACCAUGAUUGCGAUUUUCAUUUUUCCAUUCAGGUGUUGAACGAAAAAGUGGUUUUCUAAAAUAUAAGUUCUUCAGUAUGAUUUAGAUUUUGGUAAAGGUAAAGAAUACAUAUAUAUUUACAUAUAAUAAAUGACUAGGUUUCCAAGAACAUAAUCCGUUAGAAGUAAGAUUUCCUGUGCAAGUUUUAUGAUCAUUAGCUAAUUUUGGUUAACUAUACCAGUCUUAUAUUUUUUUUAUUAAUUGCUUAGGGGCGAAUAUGUUUCUGAACUUGAAGAGAGGAAUAAUGAGGUAACUCAGUUACGGGUAAAGGUUGAAAGCUUUACUAUGCAAGAGAAUACAUUGGAUGAAAGAAUGAGGUUAAUUGAUUAAUUCUUACAUUUUCCUUCUACAGAUUCCAUACUACAGAUCAACUCACCUGAAGUUGUUCUUGGAUAUCUGUAUUCUUGAAAUCGAAAUUUGUUUUUAUAUUUUUAUUAUCAUGAGUUUUUGUGUUUUGCUAACCAGAUCCCUGCCCUAAAACGGCCAUGGUUAACACCAACUUUAUAAAAUAAAAUUUUUUUAAAUAAUAUAUUUUUUGUUAAUUAUUAACCACCAACCAUAUUCUAAGGUUGCUCUUUCUGUUAUCCAAACUCUUUUUGAAGUCAAGGCAGAAAAGGUCUGUUUAGUGGCGUCAUGGUUUAGACAUGGGUUGGAUGGAAUUACGUGGGGUAUGGUGCUGGAAAAGACAGGUAUUAACUCACGAUGAAGCUGUUGAACUGCAGAAAAUGAUGGUUGUUCUGCUGAAUGUAUGCAUGUCUUUAACUAAGGAUCGCUGUUAAUGGGGUCUUCACUCAUCAACCGAUUGAAUAUAAAAAAAAUUAAGUAGAGACGAUGAAUUCAUCAAGUGAAGUCUCUGAAUUUUGCUUGAUCUAUAUUAUCUCAUAUUUACAUUUGUUGUUGUAGUUUGAGUGAGAAUGUUGUGUGUAGAGAUUCUAAGUGAUAUUACAGAAUUAAACUCUCUUACUUUCUAUAGAAUGAUGCCAAUAUGUUAUUGAAUAUUGUAGGAUAGUCGCAGUGGGAACUUAAAGAGGCUUUGAUGUACUAAAACUUAUCCAAAAAUUAAAGGUAAAGAAACAACUAAAAUGGCUCCUGGGGCUUCCGGUGA